rnacentral:rRNA from 1 species
AGUAGGGAAUCUUCCACAAUGGACGAAAGUCUGAUGGAGCAACGCCGCGUGAGUGAAGAAGGUUUUCGGAUCGUAAAGCUCUGUUGUUGGUGAAGAAGGAUAGAGGCAGUAACUGGUCUUUAUUUGACGGUAAUCAACCAGAAAGUCACGGCUAACUACGUGCCAGCAGCCGCGGUAAUACGUAGGUGGCAAGCGUUGUCCGGAUUUAUUGGGCGUAAAGCGAGCGCAGGCGGAAUGAUAAGUCUGAUGUGAAAGCCCACGGCUCAACCGUGGAACUGCAUCGGAAACUGUCAUUCUUGAGUGCAGAAGAGGAGAGUGGAACUCCAUGUGUAGCGGUGGAAUGCGUAGAUAUAUGGAAGAACACCAGUGGCGAAGGCGGCUCUCUGGUCUGCAACUGACGCUGAGGCUCGAAAGCAUGGGUAGCGAACAGGAUUAGAUACCCUGGUAGUCCAUGCCGUAAAACGAUGAGCGCUAGGUGUU